rnacentral:rRNA from 1 species
CCUACGGGAGGCUGCAGUGAGGAAUAUUGGUCAAUGGACGCAAGUCUGAACCAGCCAAGUAGCGUGCAGGAUGACGGCCCUCCGGGUUGUAAACUGCUUGUAGGGGGGAAUAAAAGGGGGCGCGUGAGCCCCGUAUUGUAUGGACCAUCAGAAAAAGGACGGGCUAAUUCCGGGCAAGCAGCCUCGGUAAUCCGGAAGGUCCGGGCGUUAUCCGGAUUUAUUGGGUUGAAAGGGAGCGUAGGCCGGCUUGUAAGUCAGCUGUGAAAGUCCGCGGCUCAACCGUGGAAUUGCAGUUGAAACUGGCGGCCUUGUGUGCACACCGGGAUGCCGUAAUUCAUGGUGUAGCGG